rnacentral:rRNA from 1 species
GACGAACGCUGGCGGCGUGCUUAACACAUGCAAGUCGAACGAAGUGGCGAACGGGAGAGUAACGCGUAAUCAACCUGCCCUUCAGAGGGGGACAACAGUUGGAAACGACUGCUAAUACCGCAUACUGAAGGAGGGGAUUGCGUCUGAUUAGCUAGUUGGAGGGGGAACGGACCACCAAGGCGAUGAUCAGUAGCGGGUCUGAGAGGAUGAACGGCGACAUUGGUACUGAGACACGGCCCAGACGCCUACGGGAGGCAGCAGGGGGAAUGCUUCCGCAAUGGACGACAGUCUGACGGAGCAACGCCGCGUGAGUGAUGACGGCCUUCGGGUUGUAAAGCUCUGUUAAUCGGGACGCGGUACCGGAAUAGAAAGCCACGGCUAACUACGUGCCAGCAGCCGCGGUAAUUG